UCCCAGUCCCGGCAGCAGUGCCAGGCCAGGCUCGAGAGGAGCACCGAGGUCUGUGGGAGUGCACAGCACGGAGCGUCUGUCGACAAGGCUGGAGGAAGGAAGGGCAGUGGGAGGCACCCGACCAGUGCUGCCACAGAGAAAAUGAGAUGAAACAAAGAGGUUGAAUUCCAUUCCUGGAGAGCCGGAGGGCAGCAAAGUGAGGAGGCUGUGGAGGAAGAAGGCAGAGAGAGGCCAGCUAGAGACGGCAAAUUCCCUGACGUCUAUCCAAGGUGCGCAUGGACAAUGCAGAAUAUUGGUUAAUAUCAAAGGAAACACAGAACUCUUACGAAAAGAAGAAGCAGCACUAUUUCAAGGAGCCAUGUUUCUAAAGCAACAAUAAAAUCUUCUGAACAUAUAUUAAGUCUUUUGAUAAA